rnacentral:rRNA from 1 species
GGCAGUGGGGGAUAACGUCCGGAAACGGGCGCUAAUACCGCAUACGUCCUACGGGAGAAAGUGGGGGAUCUUCGGACCUCACGCUAUUAGAUGAGCCUAGGUCGGAUUAGCUAGUUGGUGAGGUAAUGGCUCACCAAGGCGACGAUCCGUAACUGGUCUGAGAGGAUGAUCAGUCACACUGGAACUGAGACACGGUCCAGACUCCUACGGGAGGCAGCAGUGGGGAAUAUUGGACAAUGGGCGAAAGCCUGAUCCAGCCAUGCCGCGUGUGUGAAGAAGGUCUUCGGAUUGUAAAGCACUUUAAGUUGGGAGGAAGGGCAGUUACCUAAUACGUGAUUGUUUUGACGUUACCGACAGAAUAAGCACCGGCUAACUCUGUGCCAGCAGCCGCGGUAAUACAGAGGGUGCAAGCGUUAAUCGGAAUUACUGGGCGUAAAGCGCGCGUAGGUGGUUUGUUAAGUUGGAUGUGAAAGCCCCGGGCUCAACCUGGGAACUGCAUCCAAAACUGGCAAGCUAGAGUAUGGUAGAGGGUGGUGGAAUUUCCUGUGUAGCGGUGAAGU